GGGCAAAUGAUGAUGCAAAGUCAUGCACCACUCUGAAUGAGGGGAUUAUCCUCUCUUUGGGCUGACAAACGGACUUCUACCCAUUUUUCGUCUGAGCCU
rfam:Zea mays cultivar B73 chromosome 5, whole genome shotgun sequence.